UAUAGAACACAAACAUAUAUUUCAAAAGCCGGCCGCCCCUUUCUCAAUCUGGUUUACGAUUCGGAGGCAGCAACACAGGAGGAAGCUCCACUGCCGCCUGCUGCCGAGGAGAAGCUGCCGGAGAAGGAAGAAGAUAAGAAAGCAGAGCAAGGAGAUGAAAAGAAAGCCGGCCACCCCCUUUCUCUCAGACCGUCCAAGCCGUCAUUCCUCUUUCUCUCCAAGCCCAACCCUUCUACCGAAGCCACUAAGGGUUCAAUCGACCGUCAACGCAGCGUUAGAGCAGAGAAGAUAGCGGCACAGCUGAUUGGCGUCGAGAUUGAACAAGGAUUCGCCCCUUUCUUUAUGCCCUAACCCUAUCUCCCUCUCUCAUUCGAAGCCCUAAAUUUGAAGGACACGAAUUGAGACUUCUAAGAAGACAUUAGAUGCUCCCGAUUUGGUUGAUGAUUACUACUUGAAUUUAUUAGAUUGGGGUAGCAGCAAUGUUCUUGCCAUUGCUCUUGGAAACACGUUUUAUCAGCAAGAAUCAAAGAAGCUACAACAACAAAUAGAUAUGCUUCAAAAUACCAACAGGUAUUUGACGGGCGAAGGCUGCUCUUUAAAUGCGAAGGAAUUGGAGCAGAUGGAAAACAGACUUGAACAAGGCAUUGCAAGAAUCAAGUCUAAAAAGGAAGAAAUGAUACUAGGAGAAAUUGAAAGUAGCAAGAAACGGCUGAAACUCAAUUUUGGGUUUGAAAUGAUACAAAGGGUUUGAAGAAUCAAAUCCAAACCUUAUAAACAUGAAGCAGGCCGUUGGAUUAAAUCACAAACUACCAAUUUUGGGUGUUUUUUGCGUUAAGAAUAUAAUUCAAGGUCUUCAUGAAAUUAGCACUAAGGUAUUGGUGAAAGCGUAAGUCAUAGUAAUUUGAAACUGAUCUUUGAGUUGAGAAUGGCUUUUGAUUGUUGUGGGAGGAGUGAUGCUUGCUUGCUGCCACUACUAGAGAUUAUGGUUAUUGGGUGUGUAUUUGGAAAGAGGUAAUGUUGGGCAAGUUUAUGCAUUUGCCCGGUAGUGUCAUGAUACUACAUACUGGAAAUUAUCCUUCUCUUAGUGAAGUAGUACAUUGAUUUCUAUCUGUGGAUGCAACUAAUGUAUGUGGAUGAUGAUGCUACAGUGUAUAUAUGUUUGUUAGUUCCUUGAGGAUUCAUCUUGCUGUAAGCUUCUUUGCAUAACUAACAUUUCCUGAUGAAUAUGCAUGCACUAGUAGAAAUUGUUUACCUAUUAAAUAAGCCAUGCUUAAGCUUUAAUACUGGGAUUAUUUCCUUGACGCACUGAACUUGCUUUGUGUAAUACCCCUAAUUCCAAAAAGGAUAGUCCUGGUAUUUUCUUUAUUGUUUAAAUAUUUUCUUUAUUGUUUAAAUUUCAUUUUUAUUGUUUAAGUGUAUAUAUGUUUAUUUAAUUGAUUUAGUUGUAGUUAAUUUAUUUAAUUGUUUUAUUUUUUGCUUUAAUUGUAUUAAUUACUUAAUUGUUAUUUAAUUGUUUUGUUGUAAUUAGUUGUUUUAAUUAGCUGUUGCUUUAAUGGUAUGAACUUAUUUAAUUAAAUUUAAUUAAUUUUUACGUGACUGUAGGAUUGGAUGCAUACGUUAGGUUUAUAGUUCACGGCCGUCAUUAAAUUUAACCUAGCUUUCUUUAUGGGCCGAGUUUCAGUUUAGGGUUUAGUUGGACUUGGGUUUAAGGGUGGUCUAUAAAUACUCACCUAGGAUGU